UUCGGGAAACCGGAGCUAAUACCGGAUAAUAUUUUGAACCGCAUGGUUCAAAAGUGAAAGACGGUCUUGCUGUCACUUAUAGAUGGAUCCGCGCUGCAUUAGCUAGUUGGUAAGGUAACGGCUUACCAAGGCAACGAUGCAUAGCCGACCUGAGAGAGUGAUCGGCCACACUGGAACUGAGACACGGUCCAG
rnacentral:rRNA from 1 species